AUGGCGUCCUCCACCCAAUCCCACCAAGAAGAAGAGGAGGAGCAUGGUCACCGCGGCGGCGGCCAUGGCGACCAGAUCACCGCCCCACUCCUCCCAAACCGGCCGUCAACGUCGCGGAGCUCACCGGAGCACCACGAAGACGACGGCCAUGGCAUAUCGUCGGAGAACUCGCCGAUCGAGCAGGUGGCGCUGACGGUCCCCGUGGGCGAUGACCCGGACACCCCCGUGCUCACCUUCCGGAUGUGGGUGCUGGGCAUGGCGUCCUGCGCCAUGCUCUCCUUCCUCAACCAGUUCUUCUGGUACCGCAAGGAGCCGCUCACCAUCACCGCCAUCUCCGCCCAGAUCGCCGUGGUGCCGCUUGGCCGCCUCAUGGCCGCGGCGCUGCCGGAGCGGGCCUUCCUCCGCGGCACGCGCUGGGAGUUCACCCUCAACCCGGGGCCGUUCAACGUGAAGGAGCACGUGCUGAUCACCAUCUUCGCCAACGCUGGCGCCGGCACCGUCUACGCCAUCCAUGUUGUCACCGCCGUCCGCGUGUUCUAUGGCAAGAACCUCACCUUCUUCGUCUCCCUCCUCGUGGUGCUCACCACGCAGGUGCUCGGGUUCGGGUGGGCAGGGAUUUUCCGGCGGUACCUCGUCGAGCCGGCGGCCAUGUGGUGGCCGUCCAACCUCGUGCAGGUCUCCCUCUUCAGAGCGCUCCACGAGGAUGAAAGGCGGCGAAAAGGGGGCUUCACGCGAAAUCAGUUCUUCCUGGUGGCGUUCGCCUGCAGCUUCGCAUACUACGCCUUCCCGGGCUACCUGUUUCAGAUGCUCACCUCACUCUCCUGGAUCUGCUGGGUGUUCCCCAACUCUGUGUUCGCCCAGCAGCUCGGCUCAGGCCUCCACGGGCUCGGCAUCGCCGCAAUCGGCCUCGACUGGGCAUCGAUUUCCAGCUACCUUGGGAGCCCUCUCGUCAGCCCCUGGUUCGCCACUGCGAAUGUCGCUGCAGGCUUCUUCAUCGUCAUGUAUAUCAUCGUGCCUAUUGGGUACUGGUUUGAUUUCUACAAGGCGCAGACCUUCCCCAUCUACUCUUCCGGUCUCUUCACCUCUGCCGGGCAGAAGUAUAACAUCUCGGCUAUCGUCGACGACCAUUUCCAUCUUGAUAUAGAGGCAUAUGAGAAAAAUGGUCCACUGUACCUCAGCACUCUCUUUGCUGUCACAUAUGGUAUUGGCUUCGCGUCACUUACCGCGACGAUCGUUCAUGUCAUCCUGUUUCACGGAAGGGAGAUUUUGCAGCUAAGCAGAUCAGCUUUUCAAGGGAAAAGUGUGGACAUACAUACGAAGCUAAUGAG
rnacentral:rRNA from 1 species